rnacentral:rRNA from 1 species
CCGGCGACCGGCGCACGGGUGAGUAACACGUAUGCAACCUGCCCGUGGCAGGGGGAUAAGCGGGGGAAACCCCGUCUAAUACCGCGUAACGCGGCCUUGGGGCAUCCCAAGGCCGCCAAAGGGAGCAAUCCCGGCCACGGAUGGGCAUGCGGCGCAUUAGCUAGUCGGCGGGGUAACGGCCCACCGAGGCGACGAUGCGUAGGGGUUCUGAGAGGAAGGCCCCCCACACUGGUACUGAGACACGGAUCAGACUCCUACGGAAGGCAGCAG